rnacentral:rRNA from 1 species
GACGAACGCUGGCGGCGUGCUUAACACAUGCAAGUCGAACGGAAAGGCCCUGCUUUUGUGGGGUGCUCGAGUGGCGAACGGGUGAGUAACACGUGAGUAACCUGCCCUUGACUUUGGGAUAACUUCAGGAAACUGGGGCUAAUACCGGAUAGGAGCUCCUGCUGCAGGGUGGGGGUUGGAAAGUUUCGGCGGUUGGGGAUGGACUCGCGGCUUAUCAGCUUGUUGGUGGGGUGGUGGCUUACCAAGGCUUUGACGGGUAGCCGGCCUGAGAGGGUGACCGGCCACAUUGGGACUGAGAUACGGACCAGACUCCUACGGGGGGCAGCAGUGGGGAAUAUUGCACAAUGGGCGGAAGCCUGAUGCAGCAACGCCGCGUGCGGGAUGACGGCCUUCGGGUUGUAAACCGCUUUCGCCUGUGACGAAGCGUGAGUGACGGUAAUGGGUAAAGAAGCACCGGCUAACUACGUG